UACGGGGGGGGCAAGCGUUGUUCGGAAUUACUGGGCGUAAAGGGCUCGUAGGUGGCCAACUAAGUCAGACGUGAAAUCCCUCAGCUUAACUUGGGAACUGCGUCGGAUACUGGAUGGCUUGAAUUCGGGAGAGGGAUGCAGAAUUCCAGGUGUAGCGGUGAAAUGCGUAGAUAUCGAGAGGAACACCGGUGGCGAAGGCGGCCUUCUGGACAGUGACUGACGCUGAGACGCGAAAGCGUGGGGAGCAAACAGG
rnacentral:rRNA from 1 species